GACGAACGCUGGCGGCGUGCCUAAUACAUGCAAGUCGAACGCAGUGGGGACGGGUGAGUAACACGUGGGUAACCUCCCAUCAGAGGGGAUAACACUUGGAAACAGGUGCUAAACCGAUACUGAUGGAUGGACCCGCGGUGCUUUAGCUAGUUGGUGGGGUAACGGCUCACCAAGGCCACGAUGCAUAGCCGGUCGGAGAGGAGGAUCGGCCACACUGGGACUGAGACACGGCCCAGACUCCUACGGGAGGCAGCAGUGGGGAAUCUUCCGCAAUGGACGAAAGUCUGACCGAGCAACGCCGCGUGAGUGAAGAAGGUUUUAGGGUCGUAAAACACUGUUGGUAGAGAAGCGGUAUCUAACCAGAAAGCCACGGCUAACUACGUGCCAGCAGCCGCGGUAAUUC
rnacentral:rRNA from 1 species